rnacentral:tRNA from 1 species
GCAGAAGUGGCGGAAUAGGCAGACGCUCCUGGUUUAGACCCAGGCUUUUGAGAGUUCGAAUCUCUCCUUCUGUA